rnacentral:rRNA from 1 species
CGUACACUCCUGCGGGAGGCAGCAGUGGGGAAUAUUGGACAAUGGGCGCAAGCCUGAUCCAGCCAUGCCGCGUGAGUGAUGAAGGCCCUAGGGUUGUAAAGCUCUUUCACCGGUGAAGAUAAUGACGGUAACCGGAGAAGAAGCCCCGGCUAACUUCGUGCCAGCAGCCGCGGUAAUACGAAGGGGGCUAGCGUUGUUCGGAUUUACUGGGCGUAAAGCGCACGUAGGCGGACUAUUAAGUCAGGGGUGAAAUCCCGGGGCUCAACCCCGGAACUGCCUUUGAUACUGGUAGUCUUGAGUGCGAGAGAGGUGAGUGGAAUUCCGAGUGUAGAGGUGAAAUUCGUAGAUAUUCGGAGGAACACCAGUGGCGAAGGCGGCUCACUGGCUCGAUACUGACGCUGAGGUGCGAAAGCGUGGGGAGCAAACAGGAUUAGAUACCCGAGUAGUCCCAUGA